CCUACGGGGGGCAGCAGUGAGGAAUAUUGGUCAAUGGACGAGAGUCUGAACCAGCCAAGUAGCGUGAAGGAUGACUGCCCUAUGGGUUGUAAACUUCUUUUAUAUGGGAAUAAAAUGUUCCACGUGUGGGAGUAUGUAUGUACCAUAUAAAUAAGGAUCGGCUAACUCCGGGCCAGCAGCCGCGGUAAUACGGAGGAUCCGAGCGUUAUCCGGAUUUAUUGGGGUUAAAGGGAGCGUAGGUGGAUUGUUAAGUCCGUUGUGAAAGUUUGCGGCUUAACCGUAAAAUUGCAGUUGAAACUGGCGGUCGUGAGUACAGUAGAGGUGGGCGGAAUGCGUGGUGUAGCGGUGAAAUGCUUAGAUAUCACGAAGAACUCCGAUUGCGAAGGCAGUUCACUGGACUGCAACUGACGCUGAGGCACGAAAGUGUGGGUAUCGAACAGGAUUAGAUACCCCUGUAGUC
rnacentral:rRNA from 1 species